rnacentral:rRNA from 1 species
GGAGUCCUGCCUGCCCAGUGACUAGAAGUUAAACGGCCGCGGUAUCUUGACCGUGCGAAGGUAGCAUAAUCAUUUGUCUCCUAAAUAGAGACUAGUAUGAAUGGCAAGACGGAGUUUUACUGUCUCCUUAUCUUCCUCCCGAAUUUCACAUUUUCGUGAAGAGGCGAGAAUAUUUUCGUUAGACGAGAAGACCCUGUCGAGCUGCAGCAAAGUUCAGUGCUUUUUUUCAUUUCUCCUGCCCUACUAAUUUAUUUCAUUAGAAACAGCAGAAACUUAAAGACUCUAACUAGCUUUGGUUGGGGCAACCACGGAGAAAGAGAAUCCUCCGUUAUCUAUAGUUUACAAACUUAAAAUAAGAGAGACCCCUCUAAAAUUAUACAAGUAAGAGUAUGAUCCACUAAGGUGAUCAAAGGAAAAAGUUACCGCAGGGAUAACAGCGUUAUCUUCUCUAAGAGUCCAUAUUGACGAGAAGGUUUGCGACCUCGAUGUUGGAUCGGGACAUCCUAAGGGUGCAGAAGCUUUUAAGGGUUGGUCUGUUCGACCAUUAAAGUCCUACG